CCUACGGGAGGCAGCAGUGGGGAAUUUUGGACAAUGGACGCAAGUCUGAUCCAGCCAUGCCGCGUGCGGGAAGAAGGCCUUCGGGUUGUAAACCGCUUUUGUCAGGGAAGAAACGGGUUUCUCUAAUACAGAGACCUAAUGACGGUACCUGAAGAAUAAGCACCGGCUAACUACGUGCCAGCAGCCGCGGUAAUACGUAGGGUGCAAGCGUUAAUCGGAAUUACUGGGCGUAAAGCGUGCGCAGGCGGUUAUGCAAGACAGAGGUGAAAUCCCCGGGCUCAACCUGGGAACUGCCUUUGUGACUGCAUAGCUAGAGUACGGUAGAGGGGGAUGGAAUUCCGCGUGUAGCAGUGAAAUGCGUAGAUAUGCGGAGGAACACCGAUGGCGAAGGCAAUCCCCUGGACCUGUACUGACGCUCAUGCACGAAAGCGUGGGGAGCAAACAGGAUUAGAUACCCUGGUAGUCCACGCCCUAAACGAUGUCAACUGGUUGUUGGGAGGGUUUCUUCUCAGUAACGAAGCUAACGCGUGAAGUUGACCGCCUGGGGAGUACGGCCGCAAGGUUGAAACUUCAAAUGAAUUGACGG
rnacentral:rRNA from 1 species